CCUACGGGUGGCAGCAGUGGGGAAUAUUGGACAAUGGGCGAAAGCCUGAUCCAGCCAUGCCGCGUGUGUGAAGAAGGCCUUCGGGUUGUAAAGCACUUUCAGUGGGGAAGAAAGCCUUGGGGCUAAUACCCUCGAGGAAGGACAUCACCCACAGAAGAAGCACCGGCUAACUCCGUGCCAGCAGCCGCGGUAAUACGGAGGGUGCGAGCGUUAAUCGGAAUUACUGGGCGUAAAGCGCGCGUAGGCGGUCUGAUAAGCCGGUUGUGAAAGCCCCGGGCUCAACCUGGGAACGGCAUCCGGGAGGGGCAGGGUGAGGUCGGAGGAGAGGAGAGGAAUGCCCGCGGGGGAGGGGGGAAAUGCGGAGAGACCGGGAGGAAAGACAGGGGAGAAGGGGGCCUUAGGGAAUGACCCUGACGAUGAGGGGCGAAAGCGUGGGUAGCACCCAGGUUGAGAGACCCCAUGAGGC
rnacentral:rRNA from 1 species